AAAAUAGUUUGUCAAGGUGUCUUCUAAAAGCCUUGGUGUUAACAGAGGCGUCACUAGAAUCGCACAAGGAUUAAGUAAUUUUCUAGCAUUACUGCAUGAUACCUUAAUAAUUACUUUGUUUCACUUAUGAACGUGUUUUGCUCCUUUCUCAUAUUGUAAGUUUUCACUUAGUGAAAAACUAUUGCUCCUCAAGGAAAGCUGUGGAUUGUAUCAAGCUUUCAUAAAUGUAGUGCGAGAACAUUUUAAUUCGGCAAAGAAGCAAAAUCAAAAAAAGAAUAGGUUAGAUUCAGUAAAUCUUAAGUCCUCAGGGAAAAUCAACAAUAAACAAAAUAAUUAUGAAUAAAUAUCAUAAUAAUUAUUUUCUUGAAUAUGUUUAUGUCCAUUGCCCCAGUAUUGGCAGAUCCCGUAAACAUAGAUGCUGCAAUCGUGUGUGUGUGUAGGGUGGGGGUCACUAAUUCAAUUCAGUUCAAUAGAGCUAGGUAAAAAAAAGUGGUGCAAGGUUAAUAACUUAGUGAGACUAUGUUAAUAAUUCCGUGGGGCUAAGGUGACAAUUUAAUGGGGUAUGGUUACAAAUUUAUUUGACAAAUUUCUAAUUUAGAGGGGUCAGGUUAUUAAUUUAUUGGGGUGAAAUUACGAACUUAGUAAAGAUAAGCUGCACGUUGCCUCGGUGUUCAUCUCCGCUUGUGAGCCUGUGAUGGGGAAAACACACAUCCAGAUAAUCACAGUUUACCUUCCCCAGGUUUCCCCUGGUAUAUAUUUACCUGAGCCCGCGGAUCCGUAGCUCUGUAGGCGUGCUAACCACUACACCACAGCUAGUUGAUAAUUUUGUGGGGCUGGGAUGCUAGUUUAGUGAAGCUAGGUUAUUAGUUUAGGGGUUAGUGAGGCUGUCACUAAUUUUGUGGGACUAGGUUAACAAUUUAGUGGGGCUAGGUUAACAGUUUAGUGGGGCUAGGUUAACAGUUUAGUGGGGCUAGGUUAACAGUUUAGUGGGGCUAGGUUAACAGUUUAGUGGGGCUAGGUUAACAGUUUAGUGGGGCUAGGUUAACAGUUUAGUGGAGCUUGGUUAACAGUUUAGUGGGGUUAGGUUGACAGUUUAGUGGGGCUAGGUUAACAAUUUAGUGGGGCUAGGUUAACAGUUUAGUGGGGCUAGGUUAACAGUUUAGUGGGGCUAGGCUAACAGUUUAGUGGGGCUAGGUUAACAGUUUAGUGGAGCUUGGUUAACAGUUUAGUGGGGCUAGGUUAACAAUUUAGUGGGGCUAGGUUAACAGUUUAGUGGGGCUAGGUUAACAGUUUAGUGGGGCUAGGUUAACAGUUUAGUGGGGCUAGGUUAACAGUUUAGUGGGGCUAGGUUAACAGUUAAGUGGGGCUAGGUUUACAAUUUAGUGGGGCUAGGUUAACAGUUUAGUGGGGCUAGGUUAACAAUUUAGUGGGGCUAGGUUAACAGUUUAGUGGGGCUAGGUUAACAGUUUAGUGGGGCUAGGUUUACAAUUUAGUGGGGGUAGGUUAACAGUUUAGUGGAGCUUGGUUAACAGCUUAGUGGGGCUAGGUUAACAGUUUAGUGGGGCUAGGUUAACAGUUAAGUGGGGCUAGGUUUACAAUUUAGUGGGGCUAGGUUAACAGUUUAGUGGGGCUAGGUUAACAGUUUAAUGGGGCUAGGUUAACAGUUUAGUGGGGCUAGGUUUACAAUUUAGUGGGGCUAGGUUAACAGUUAAGUGGGGCUAGGUUUACAAUUUAGUGGGGCUAGAUUAAUAUUCUAGUGGGGUUAGGUUGCCACUUUGAUGGAGCUAUACUAUCAAUUAAGUGGGCUUGGUUAAUAAUUUAAUGGGGUUAGGAUACUAUCUUAACUGGGCUAAACUACAAAUUUAGUUGGACUAGGUUAAUUUAUAGGGGCUAGGUAACUAACUUAAUGGACUAAAUACCAGCUAUAGGGUUAGUCAAUAAAUUAAUGGGGCUCGGUAAUACGACGUAGUCUUAGGACACCACCAGUGCUAUGAA